rnacentral:sRNA from 1 species
CAGAAAUGGAGACCUGGCCGCGAUAACUCCAUCAGAGCAUCGAUAUGUAAAGAUACAUGUUUAUAAGUCGGCAAGCGAUAGCAGCUCUUUUAUACAAUGAGCUUACUUGGUACUACCAUGGACGGCUGACGCAACACGUUCGACAUUUAAAACAAGGAUGUGGCGGCGGUGAACUCGACGAGGUGAUUGUGGCACUCAUUCGCGGGUACGUCCCACGAUUCAAAAUCGUCUACCUUCUUCCUUAUGUUCUCUCUCCUUCUCGAUCUUGGUCAUCUUCAUUUGGAGCAGGCUGGAUAGUUCUCCGUUCUCCACAUCUAUCUCAGCGCCCCACAAAAUACAUCUCGCACCAAGGGUCCAGUUCUCUGCAGCAACUCAUUUCACAUUCCUUUCAAGAAAAAAAUAUCUCACCCCUUCUCGCCGAGCAGUUGCGGAGACAGUUAUUCAAACUGCUACCAAAGAACAUUCCACAUGUUCCUCCUGCUCGCUGCCCGACAGAUGUACAACGACCAAUUGUUAUUCGGUUUCAGCGACGUUCUAGUCUGGUCACCCCGGGAAUAGAGGGGAUGAGAUCUCACAACGACCUGCAAAAUCCCAAAGUUGUGGCCGACACAAAGAUUUUCCGUUCUCAGCGAUCGUCAAUCAAGUAUUCCGCGAGCAUAGAGUCAUGACACACUUGACGACACUGCGGUAUUUCAUCCUCUGUGUUCCCACCCUCAUUCGCCGUCUCGGCAGUACGUAUGUAUCUCUUAACACGUGUUAUGACUUUGAUUACGCUCCAUAUAUCAUAAAUUACUUUUCUCCCGAUGGUAUGUCUUUUUCCGAGGCCUUCAAACGGUGCUGCAAGCACUACGUGUUUGAUUGUCCGAGCCUUCGUCCGGCAGAAUUAGGAAAAGCAAAUCUAUAGUGGCCCUCCACAAUGCGCUCGCGAAAAUGGAUAUGGACACUCGUGACGGUUCUCGUCAUAUAGAAUGACGCGGUGAAAUUGGAUUAGGUUCCGUGCAGUUGUGUGCCUGUCCCCUGUCUAUCGUUCAACAGCCUGCCUUGGUGCUUAGUUUCCCUCCUCCUCAUCCUCACCUUCAUCCUCGUCAUCAACUUCGUCUGAAUUCAUUUCAUUCCAUCCUUGUCAGUUAUAUUUCUAAACUAUCGACUUGCCUUUCUGUAGUUACCCACCAUCCCUUCCCUGUUACUAUUUACUUUAUCCACAUCGCGGCUACUCUCUUCUUUUGCGUCUGUUCUGAUUUACCUUACUUUUGUCACUAUUUUGCUUCAUUUACUGUUCUCUUCUAGCCUCUUCUUCCGUUUCGUUUCUCGUAGUUCGGGCUCCUUUUUGUCGCCGACGCGUAUGUCUCAAUGGCCUUGUGGAGCGAAUGUCUCUAUGCAUGAUGUUCCUCGCGCGAUU